CACAUCAAUCGUUUCCGAAAUUUUGCGAACUUUUUCGAGAUUAUCUUUGAAAUGCUGAGGAAACACUCUUGUUUGCACUCUGCCGACGUACUUAAGCCAUCCUAACUCUUCAGAAGCAUCACUCUCAAAGUUCGUAAGAUCAAAAAAUGGUAAAAGAGCCAUUUGUAAGUCAAAUACCCCUAAAACUCUAACUACUUUUCUGUUUGGCAAACGAAAGAUUCACAUCGCCCCAAGUAACAAUCAUAAAUCACCUUUAGGUAACCAGGUUACAAUGCGUCAGAUUUUCUGACUCAAAAGAGAUCUCAAGUAGGGAGAGUAGGUGAAUCAUCAAAGAUAAAAACAGUAAUUUUUAGCUUCAUAAAUACUUCCAUCAAUUUUUUAAGUCAUUAUUUUGAAACCACUUUCGCAAAUUAGGAUUCUCGUUGGCAUAGCGAAAUCCUUGCUUGGUUAGGAAACAGUCUUUUGGUGGCAUUUAUAAUACUCUUAAUUUAGUUGAAAUAAAAUCAUUAUCUUAAAUUCCUUUUAAAAGUAGACACGAAUAGCGUCUGCAGCAACAUUUUCAUUAGGACAGUAGGGACAUUUGAAUCGUUGAGAGCCAUUUCGA